AUAAAAAAAAAACCAAUCGACCCCAAAUGAAAACCCCACCCCGCUCCCAUUCCCGUCGCCGCCCUCUUCCCCCACCACUGCAACGACGCCUUCCGCCACACCACACCACUGCACAUCAUCAAUCCACAAAGGUCGCCUAAACGGCUACCCAAUUAGCCCUAUUCUGCUUUUAGAUCUGACUUCCAAAACUCAAAACUUUGGAAACGUGUAGAGCAAAAGAUUUGGUUCGGCGGUCUCGAUGAGCGGAGGACGACGGAAGCGAUGGACCUUCCGGCGAAAACGGGCAAUAAGCGACGGAAAUCAACGCUAAAGAUAUGAGGCAACUAAUUAAUCGAUCGAGUGCCGAUGAAGGAGUUGGAACAUCCAAUGGAAGAACAAAGCAACAGACGGCUCUAAACGGCGAAAGGCAGUUAGGUUAAUUUGUUAAUGAGAAACAUUGAUAAACAUGGAAUGAGCGGAUAGAAACUUCAAACACUCCAAAAAAAGGAAAAAGGAGAGAGAAGACUCCAAGGAAGAUGAAACGGCAGAAAGGGCAAAAUGAUCACACAAAGAGCACACUUGACAUGUCAGAUAUGGUGGGCUCAAACCUAUUCUACUCCAUCAACAGAUAACAUAAUAGAUAAUGAAGAGAUUCAUGAUUGUGAAGGGUGCUAACUCUAUACAUGAAACAAAGAGAAGGAAGAAGAGGAGGAAGAUAAUACAAAAGGGAAAAUAGGAUUUCCAACGAUGAAUGUGCAAUAAGUACACUUUGGCAGAAAUCACUUGCCUAAUACUAUGAAGGGACAAAAGGGCAUUGGAAACUGAUUUAUUGAUCAGCGAGUGCUUUGCCAAAAUAUUGUAAUAGAAUAGGUUUCUUUAACUAAAGCCUCUACAAACCUAACAAAUAGAGGUUGCAGAACACAAAACACAAAAAUAAUCUAUGCAUAAAGACAUAUAAUUACAUAAGAAAAAAUAAAAAAAUAUUUACACAUCA